AUUUUUCUCAGGUGCUUUUGGACUUGAUAGGGGAUAUUUGGGAAAGUCCCUGAAAGAUCUCGUGAAGAACUCAGAAUACAAUUUAAGUAAUUGCUCAUUAAGUAGUUCUGAGAACCCAUAUGCUACUAUAAAAGACCCACCAGCUCUUGUACCAAAAAGUUCAGAAUGCGGAUAUGUUGAAAUGAAGUCACCAGCGCGCAGGGACUCCCCAUAUGCUGAGAUUGCUGGCUCUGCUUCAGCCAAUAAGAAUGUUUAUGAAGUUGAACCUACUGUGAGCGUUGUCCAGGGAGCAUUCAGCAGCAGCGGACGUUUCAGCCAGGACCCGUAUGAUCUUCCAAAAAACAGCCAUAUUCCGUGUCAUUAUGACUUGCUACCAGUUCGAGAUAGCCCCACAUCCUCUACGAAGGAGAUCAGCAGUGAAUGACCCCAAAAGCUGAUGUGGGAGCACAGUGGGACUUCCAAGGGGCAAAGUGGCAUGGUUGUGCUCCUUCCUCUAGUUUACCAUCAUGUUUGGCUCCUAAUCUGUCCAGCAGACAAUUGCUGUACAUUAAACAGAAUCUCAACAUGAGGUUUGUAUUCUGUAUAAAAGUGACAGAUGGACAAAUGCCACACUCUGGGGAUCCUGAUCAUUCUUUUUUUCAUGGCAGUAAAUUUUAUAGAAACAGGUAUGCAACACAUUUAUACUGUAAUAUACUGGCUUAAAAAUAUUAGUUUGCAGAUCAGUUUUGAUAACAUCCCAUUUCAGCGACUUUCAAUAUAGACUUCACAUUUGUCAUGUUUCAGAGUAGAAAUACUCCCAGGACAGUGCAAUUUACCAAAUACCACUUCAUACAGGUGAUCUGAUUUGCUAGUUAUGUAGAAGAUAAACUGUCUUGCCAAAUUUUACCUUCCAUUCUGAUCUUUAGUCAAGACAUAUUAAGCAACAAGAUCUGAUGGGGAUAAAUAAGAACAAUACUGCAGUUUUGAAAAUCCAUCAUCAGGCUUCUUUUGUCCAUUAUUUGUGGUGGGCAAACCUUGCUUGAAUAGUUUUGGAGAUAAAAGCAUUGCAUACAUCAAUAUUAUAUGAUGCCUCAAGAUCUCUUGGUACUUCAGACCCAGCACCAGUCUGCAACAAGUCCUUUGCUACCGUUCAGCUGCAUAUGUUGCAAUACUGACCACUAUUUAUGCCAUACACAACUAAUAAUCCAUAACAUAUCAAUAAUUACUUCAUAAAAUAUGUAAAUUAAAUCAGUUUAUUUUUGUCACCAUGGACUGGUUAUGUAAGGAGUGGACAAAGGUGAUGACUGCUGUAAAUCUUAACUUCAAGGAAAGGUUUACAUUUUAUAAACAGGUAGUAAUAAUGACUGUAAUAUAGAAUAAAAUAGUAAAGUGUUCUGAUGGGUUUUUUUUCUUAGAAAUAACUAAGCAAUCUCUGUGCAUACUUGCUAAAAAUGCACCUUUUCUUUUCUAUAGUUGAUGUAGAAAAACACAUGCUUAAGCUGGUCUUUUGCAUUGCUAAUAUUGUGACACAUGUACCCCCCAUUCUUCAUUAACUUGUGUCUCCAUUUUUAUGCUGCGUGUCUGUGUUUCUAGUGAUCUAGCUUGUAAUUGCAAAAAUAUUCUACUGUGUAUCCAUUUGUUCUGCAUUUUUGCCAACUGGCCUUUAUUUUGUCUGGUUAAAGGGACCUCUGGGCAGAAGGAGAGGAUUAAAGAAAGAAUUCAUGUCAUACCAAUGUCUAUCAAACAGAGUGGGUUAGCUAAUACAGAAUAGUUGAAUUUAAUUAAUUACUUGGGGAAAAAAAUCAAGGUGUUUUUGUUGAGGAUAAUAAUAAGAAUGCAGAACAAAAGUAAAAACCAGUCCCUCUUUAAAAUUUAGCUUACUCUAUUGACGAUAUGGAUGGAGACCAUCUUUUCAAAAGACUUCUUUCUCUCCCUCCAAACAAAAUAGUCUGUUAUGAACGGUGCAGUCCCGUGGAAAUUAAAUUUGCCAAAGUACCCAUCCAUUGAAGGAAAAUUGUCCCCCAAGGAAGUCAACCUGAAAAAAAAAAUGGUUGAUACAGACUGGACAUUCUCUUCCAGUGGAAAGUCAGCUUUAUAAGCCUAAAAGUGAUGUGGCAGUACUACUUUCAGCUGCGGCUGCUGUCAGUGAUGCUGCUUGCUAACAUGCUUGUAACAGAACCCACGCAGGCUUUUCCACUCUGCCUGGCGGUAGCUCCACAGCUGGUUCUGAAUAGCUUGUUGCAAGGGCUGGUAUAUUCCUGAUUGAGGUGGAAAAGAUACAGGCAGUUACGAUGAGUAGCAUAUAAUGGGAAGCACUAGUCCUUUCUUCUUUCUCUGUGGGGUUCACAUUUUGGCACAUGAGGCCUGUGAUACACUGUAAGGAUGGGAUGGGCAGUUGAUAGGUCAAGAGUUUGGUGUAUGUACUUUCUGGCUUACCACAGGGAGUGCCACAACCAUUUAUAUCUGUACAUAUGGACUGCAAUACAGUCCGAGACAAAGAAUUAUCGCUGUUGUGACAGCAUUGAUAGAUUUUCCUAAGAAAAUCACAGCCGGUUGCCUUUGGAAUACCAAAUGCAGCAGAGGAUCAACUGGAAGAAAAACUGAACAAAACUUCUAGAGAGUUUUUUUAAAAGGAACCCCAGAGCUGAAAUGGAAAUACAAUUUGAUUUGUUGUCACUGAAGUGGUGAUAAAUGAGAGAUCUGCAUCCAAAGACAUCGUUGUGGAUGUGCCUAAGCCUGAGAAGGUAUAUGCCUUUAUGAAGUGCCCCGUAGUCUUGGUUCUCACUGGCCAUGGGUGCUGGCAGUUUUCCAAUACCCUGGGCAUUUCCUGUAUAUCCUUGGAAUAAUUAAUUUGAUCGUCUUUGGAUUUUGCAAGUACAGAAAUUAACUACAGGAUUUCAAAAGCCAGUUACCAUUUAAUCCCUCCAUAAGACAAAGUAUUGAUUUGGUUUGUGUGCGAAUAGAUAACAUGUAGAGCUACUGGUAUAUACAUGUGUUUUGUACUGUGUGAAACAGACUUUGAAAUAAAACCUUUCUUCUCUGAAGCCAUGAAUAGCAAAUGCUGUAUUUAGCAAUUGUGAGCUCACAAAAAUUUAUUUUCUUACUGUGUGUAAAAUUUGGACACCACUAGGUAAAUUAAUCUUCAUGAUAUAAACAAUUCUUUUUUAUGCAAAAAAGUGAAGAGCUGAAUAUAAUUGGUUGAAAAUUUCCAGUAUGUCACAUAUCCUCAAGUGAUACAAUCAGCCAAAUACUCAUGAAAAAAGAUGAGUUUCUGAUAAUUUUGCCUAUUGUGUAUGUUCUAAAUAUACGCAUUACCAAAGUCUUUCUUUCUACGUGUGGGUAAAACUUCUGUGUAGUCAGCAUAAGCAAUGUCUGCAUAUAUCUGAGCCGGAUUUGCAUUACAUAUAGGUCAAGUAAAUGACUUGUAAAUUUACUUCAGUGAGUGAUCAUUGAUAGACACUCAGAAAACAGAUUGCCUGCAGGGGUAUUCUUGUUAAACGAUAGCUGUGUAUCAUUCCAGAGGAAAAAGGCUCAUGGGACUUGCAAUCCUGCUGUCUCCUGCCUGGCUAGGGAGGCUUGCUGUGGAGUACACGCUGCUGUCAAUUUAAAAGACCCCCAACUUGAUCCUCAUGAGUGUCACACUGCCUUUCUGUAGAUCCCAGCGUGCUCUUUAGAGAACUUCAAUUUCAGAACAUGCAUACAUAUUGUGAUGGGGACUUAAUGAGUAACGAUAAAAUAAUUUUUGUAAUCGCCAUCUACUCAGAGAACUGGCUUCACCAUAGACGUGAAUGGAAAGAGAUGCCUUGCCUCUAUACAUUCACAUUACAAUAGUGAGAAAUACAGCAUUGAAAAUGGAGAUAGCUAUCCCCUAGCAAGAUGUUCUCAGUUUAUUAAAGUGAAAAAUGCUGCACAAAGUUAAUAGCUGAUUUUAAGGUAAGUAGUGAGUAUAAACUUUAGGUUUUAAAUACUGUAGGCAUAUUAAUUCCGGUCAUGUAGAAGCAUAAUGAACUUCAUGGCUUUUUACUGUAUCAAAGAUUUUUAAUCACAGCACAAUGUUACCCCCCCCCAAAAAAAGUCCUUAUCUUGAUCUACCCAGAGAACUCCCAUUAAUUUUAAUUGGAGAUGCGCAUGCAGAUUACAGGGGUAAGAGGAUUUCAUUGUACUCAUUCUUUCCGCUGAGACAAUCUGCAAAGCGAAGUUAAUAUUGAAGUUAGGAUAAAACAGAAAGUUUCAAAAGUGGGGAAUGUGUUAUUUAAAAUAUAUUGGAUUUUCCCAAAACUGUGACUACAGUUUCAUUUUUAUUAGAUAUGUGUCCAAAUAAUAGUCCUUAAACUGAAGCUCUAAAGUCCAGACUAAAGAAUACAGAGCUAAUUUUGACAAAAAUGCUUUAUAUUAAAGAUUGUAUUGGUAGUAGUGUAAAUGACUGAAAACAAAUCAGUGCAUGGUUAUUAAUUACUGUACAAAAAAUCUUGCCAUUUGGUAUGCUCAUACUAGCACUAGAGCACUGAACCUAACUCUUUUAUCUUCAGCUUUUUAUCCCACAAGACUUCACUUUGAUAUGAUUGAACUGUAAUAUAUUUUUAAAGAAGACCUAUCAAGUAUGCCUGGCUUUGUUUUUUCUUAGCUGUAACAAAAAAGUGUUUUGUUGUGAAAAUAUAUAUAUUUUCCAAAGAUGACUGAUAUUCAUCAUUCUGCCCUUCACUACCAUUUAUUUCACUUCA